rnacentral:rRNA from 1 species
CCUACGGGCGGCAGCAGUAGGGAAUCUUCCACAAUGGGCGAAAGCCUGAUGGAGCAACGCCGCGUGGGUGAAGAAGGUCUUCGGAUCGUAAAACCCUGUUGUUAGAGAAGAAAGUGCGUGAGAGUAACUGUUCACGUUUCGACGGUAUCUAACCAGAAAGCCACGGCUAACUACGUGCCAGCAGCCGCGGUAAUACGUAGGUGGCAAGCGUUAUCCGGAUUUAUUGGGCGUAAAGGGAACGCAGGCGGUCUUUUAACUCUGAUGUGAAAGCCUUCGGCUUAACCGGAGUAGUGCAUUGGAAACUGGGAGACUGGAGUGCAGAAGAGGAGAGUGGAACUCCAUGUGUAGCGGUGAAAUGCGUAGAUAUAUGGAAGAACACCAGUGGCGAAAGCGGCUCUCUGGUCUGUAACUGACGCUGAGGUUCGAAAGCGUGGGUAGCAAACAGGAUUAGAUACCCUAGUAGUC